ensembl:lncRNA
UUUUUUUUUUUUUUGGGGGGGGGGGGUGUUUGUUUGUUUUAUAGAAUCGUAUAAUCACUAAGGUUGGAAAAGACCCACAGGAUCAUCCAGUCCAACCAUUCACCCUUCACCAAUGGUUCUCGCUAAACCAUGUCCCUCAACACAACAUCCAAAGUUCUGUUUUGCUAAAUCAUUUCUGUAUUUCUUAUAACUGUGCUUUGUGAUACCACAUUCAUUUUUAGUAUGACUCAGAGCCAGGUGGUUAAGCCUUUCUUUUUAUUUACACAUAAAUUGAUACAAUCGGUAAGUAGACUUCAUUGCAAGGUAGCAAAUUUACAAACCUUUCCCUGGGUUGAAAAAUCCUUCUGCAUUACUCAGCUGUAAUUCAUGUAAAAUAGACUCUCAUAAUUAGCAUCUGGUGGUUGUGAGCAGUUGAAGGAUUUUAUCACCAGCUCUAUUCUAGAAGUUUAUCCAGUUGAGUUACAUAGGUGAAUACCUAAACCAUAUGGUGGAAUUUGUUUCCUUCCUGAAUGAUCCAAGCACACAUGCAUACACAUGCAUGCACUUACAAAUACACAAUUCUCCCAAUUCUGUAUGUUCAUCUAUUUUAUAUAUGCAUUUACAUUUAAAGACUUAUUUAUAUAUACUUGUAAAUAUUCAGAUACAUACACAUACGCAUUUGUACCUGCACAUUCACACACAUUCACAUCUUGUCUGCUAAAAUCAAUUAUUUUCAUUAAUGAAAUUAUUUCUCCGUCAGUUUGAAUUCUCCACCAUUUUGUCCAUCUACUUCGCAUUAGCAUGCUUACAGAAAGGGGAUGUCUCUUCUGGGAGUUCAUGAAAUGAAAAGGAAAUCAAGAUGUGAUCAAAAAUCACCAAGAACUCUGUGGGUCUUUUUCCCAGGUUACUGUCUCUCUUGCAGUCUUACAUUGUAAGAACUCCUCCUGCAGCUCAAAUUAACCGGAGUGCUAUGCCAUGACUCUUCAGGCAGAAAGGCACACAUGCUUCUGUUACAUAGUAUGUGUAUUACAUGAGAAAAUACCUUACCAUUCUGUGUCUUUGAGAAUGUCAUGCAUGAUUUUCUUCCUGGCUCAUAUCCCAUCUUAAACCCAAAGCAUUUUCAUCUUUUAAAGACACCAUUGUUAGCUGGGGCACCCCAGGAGAAUCAAUAACCCCCUGUGGUAAAUGCACACUUCUCUGGCCUGACAUAGCCAGUCCAUCAAACAUUCCCCUGCUUAAAAGGAAAGCAGAAUUCCUCUUCCCCAUCAUUAAGUCAAUUCCUCAAAUCAAUGUACAUAUAUCAAUUACGUGCAGAAUAAAUGAAAUAAAGCAAAUGCUUUAAAAGCAAACCUGGUAUCCAGGCAUAAGUCAUGGCUAAAACAUGAAGGAACCAAUCUAGGACUGAGAGCCAGUGGGGCAGUAUAUAUGCAGCAUGCUGUGUUCAGAGGCAAAGGAGACACAUGACUGUUCUCUCAUCACUUGCCUUUUCUGCCUAUCUGCUACAUGGUCAGAGGGAAGCAAUGAGAAGAUGCACCUAGAGACAAGCAACGACUGGCAGCAAUUAACUAACCUGAUGGGGGAUACGUCCAUGAUGGGGAAUGGACAGUGGAACCCAAUGUAGUGCUGCUAAAGGAGUGGUCAGGUUUCCAGCAUGGCUCUGGCCUGUGCUUUCUACCUAUCCUCUCCCAGCCAUGCCUGGCGCCCAUCCUUUGUAGUAGUCCAUCCCUGCACCAAAUCCACAUGCCAGUUAACAUGUGGCUACCCUGAUUUUGACCUAAAACCACAAGCAUACGUGAUUUGGGUCUGCUAACCUCAAUGCCAGAAAACUGUCCCAGCAUAUUUCAUUUGCUGGUCUAGAUGUAUCCAUACAAAGAUAAAUGUGGUGAGGUCUUUUUGCAGGCUUUUUUUUUGUCAUUACCCUACCCAGUGUCUAUCAAAGUACACAAUAUUAGGUCAAAGAUUUUCUAGGAUUAGUUUUUAGUGAACUUGUCAGCUGCACAGCUGAAUGGACUGAGCAUGGAGAGAGGUUCCAGCAGUCAUACCUGCAAGGACAUUGCAUAUGACUUUGAGAAGGGAAUAAUCAAAAAUGGCAGCAAUGAGAAAUGGCAGAAGUGGAAUGUCUGAACUGAGUGAUGGGUCAUCACCCUAAAUUAUCUUGAUCCUUACAUCAGAGGGAGCAGGAGAGGAGGAACCUAAAAAAAAUGAUAUAAAGGAAAAGAACAGUCAUCUCUUUUCCCUACACAUUAUGUGAGCUACUUAGGAGUAUCUAAAACAAAUGUAUAAGAGGUAUCCCAGUUCUGCACUUCAGGUACGUAGCUUCCCUCAAUCUGAAAUACGGGCGAACUUACUGCUAGUGUGUACGAGUUAUGUAAAGGCAAUUCUCCACCCUAUCCUUCGAGAGCAGAACACUAGAAGAAGAGACUAUCUGAAAAGCAAAAUCUGACAACGACAGCAACAAGGGAAACAGUAUUUAUAGAAGAUUGUGUAACAUGCGUUUGAAUGAGAGACUUAUAAUCUCACAAAUAAACUGUGCUGCUGUCAGAUUUCAUUAUUUCAUUCUGAGUCUUGCAAUUUUUAGUGUUUCUUAAAGCCGCCAUCUGAGCUAAUGAUAUGACUAUGUUGGCUUACUUUUUAAAAAAAGAUGUAAGAAUAGAGUCUUGGCUGCAAAGAAAAGCUUAAUUUAACUCACAUUUUCCUCUAUGGUGAAAAAUAUGUAAAAUUACUUAAUUUGGGAGCUGUAAAUUGCAUUUCGUAUCUUGAUUGGUAGCAUGAUUUAUCAACUGGGAGUUUUUACAUUUUUGCCACUUAGAAGUCUGAAAACACCAGAAUUAACCACAUAUAAACUCAAGAUCCUAAAAAUGUUCUGUAGAAGACUGGGUUUAUUAUUAAAUAUUAAGACAAAGUAAGUAUUUUUCAGAACCCUUUGCAUGCUCUCAGAAGUACAUUAUCUCCCUCCAUUUGUGUUGCUGUAUGUUUCUCUCAGUUCCCAGAAAUCUACCCAAAAAUACAUUUUAAAAUUGCAUCUAUAAAGAGUAGGGAUGGCAAGUUACAGCUCCAUCUGAGCAAAGGCAUACAACUAAUGACUCUUCAAAAUGAAGCUGUAGAGAUGCAUUCCUGAAAAAUGUCAGCUCCUUGCACGCUGCAACUCUCAAUGUGACCUGACUGAAAGCCCACUGAAGCCAAAGCAAAGGCAUUCAUUGACCUGGAUGUCCUUUGUACAAUGUCUCUGCAGUCAUGAGGGCACUUCUUCAUUCAAAGAGGGGAAGUAAAGAUGGUUUUAGUGAAUUCCUUUAAAACAGAUAGAGAAUUUGUUGCGAGUCGGCUGUUUCAGAUUUGCGCAGCUCAAUUC